ACAUUUAUCGGAGCCAUCUUUGAAAUAGAUAUAUAAAGGGAGAAGGAAAUGUAAUUAAACAGACAGAAAGAUAUUCUUGUAACACCCAAACUCUACGUUUCUUCCUCCUGCACCUCAGGGUGGCCUUCAGGCGGGAUCCAUGAGCAUCCCAACCCAAAUGAUUUGAGGUUUUCAACAACAUUAAGGCCUACUGGUUUUGAGCCCAGCGCUUCGUUCGGCUCUACGUGCUUAUGGAGUACCCUGGAGUUCAGAACUAGUAUCUCAUCCUAUCCACAAAAUAAUGACAGCAAGGUUCCCCUGUUUAUGAAGAAUGGUCCAGCACCCAAAGGACGUCCAGCCGACCUGACAACUGUGGGAAGCAUCGGAAGUCAACAUGUGCCAGCAUCCCUGUGGAAUGCUUUCGACACCUUUCAGAGUCCAUGAACCAAAAGUGGGGGAAAUGACACACACACUUACACAUAGAUACACUUUCACACUCUUCACAUUCACUGCUGCCACUCUGAUUAUUAUUUACCUAGAUUGCCUAAUCACUUUUACCCCUACCUACAUGUAUAUAUUACCUCAAUGACCUUGUACCCCUUCAAAUCAAAUCAAAGUUUAUUUGUCACGUGCGCUGAAUACAACAGGUGUAGACCUUACAAGCCCUUAACCAACAGUGCAGUUUUUAAGUAAAAAAUACAUAUUAGGUAAGCAACAGAUAAGUAAAUAAAUAAAUUAACAGUCAAAAAUAACAGUAACGAGGCUAUAUACAGGCUGUACCGGUACAGAGUCAAUGUGCGGGUGACAGGUUAGUCUGGCUAUUUGAAGUAAUAUGUACAUGUAGGAUUAGUUAAAGUGACUAUAGAUGGUAAACAGAGAGUAGCAGCAGCGUAAAAGAGGGGUUGAUGGGGGAGUGGCGGGACACAUUGCAUAGUCCAGGUAGCCAUUCGAUGAGCUGUUCAGGAGUCUUAUGGCUUGGGGGGAAAAGCUGUUGAGAAGCCUUUUGGUCCUAGACUUGGCGCUCCGGUACCGCUUGACAUGCGGUAGCAGAGAGAACAGUCUAUGACUAGGGUGGCUGGAGUCUUUGACAAUUUUUAGCGCCUUUCUCUGACACCGCCUGGUAUAGAGGUCCUGGAUGGCAGGCAGCUUAUCCCCUGUGAUGUACUGGGCUGUAAACACUACCCUCUGUUGUGCCUUGCGGUCGGAGGCUGAGAAGUUGCCGUACCAGGCAGUGAUGCAACCAGUCAGGAUGCUCUCGAUGUUGCAGCUGUAGAACCUUUGAGGAUCUGAGGACCCAUGGCAAAUCUUUUUCGUUUCCUAAGGGGAAACUUUUCAUGACUGCCUUGGUGUGUUUUAACCAUUCUAGUUUUUUUUUUUUUUUUUGAAUAUUACCCCUUUUUCUCCCCAAUUUCACGGUAUUCAAUUGUUUUAGUAGCUACUAUCUUGUCUCAUCGCUACAACUCCCGUACGGGCUCGGGAGAGACGAAGGUUGAAAGUCAUGCGUCCUCCGAUACACAACCCAACCAAGCCGCACUGCUUCUUAACACAGCGCGCAUCCAAAUCGGAAGGCAGCCGCACCAAUGUGCCGGAGGAACUGCCAUUUCUUCCGGCGCCAUCGACUCGGUACCGGUACUCCUUGUACAUAGCCUCAUUAGUGCUACUUUAUUGUGUUUCUAUUUCCUAUUUAGCUACAUGUUUGUACUUUUUAACUCUGCAUCAUUGGGAAACGGCUCGUAAGUAAGUCUUUUACGGAGAAGUCUACACCUGUUGUAUUCGGCGUAUGUGGCAAAUACCAUUUUUUAUUUGAUUUUCUUAUUUGAAUGAUUAACCUUUAUAGUCCAUUGUUGGAGGCAGUUAAAAGUAGUGUUUAAAUGGACUGAUGCAAAUGGACUCUUGGAGGCAAUGGGAGCGCCAAUAAAACUCACACUGAACAUAGUGACAACAGUACUGUACUGAGUGGCAACAGGUCUUCAGCCUAGAAUGGUUGAAGAGAACACACCACACGUGUCUCUCUGAUGGUUGUUGUUUGCAAACCUCAAGUAAUUCGUGCGAGAUAGAGGGGAAAGAUCGGAGUGUGCUGAAUGAACAAUGGGACGGAUUCGAAACCAUGCUGGCAGCGAUACGUUGCGGUACACUCUGGGGUAUUGCAGUACGUGUGUCCUCUUAUUGCUCGAUUUCUUUUAUAUGACUUAGUAGUACUGUGUUGUUGAGGAGCAUGCAAGCAAGCGUUUCACUAUUCAUGUUGACACCUGCUGUAUCCUGUGCACGUGACAAACAAACGUUGAUAUGCUUUGUACAUAUCUCUUCACAGGCAGAGA